rnacentral:rRNA from 1 species
GUGAAAUUGAACUCGCUGUGAAGAUGCAGUGUACCCGCGGCAAGACGGAAAGACCCCGUGAACCUUUACUAUAGCUUGACACUGAACAUUGAGCCUUGAUGUGUAGGAUAGGUGGGAGGCUUUGAAGUGUGGACGCCAGUCUGCAUGGAGCCGACCUUGAAAUACCACCCUUUAAUGUUUGAUGUUCUAACGUGGACCCGUAAUCCGGGUUGCGGACAGUGUCUGGUGGGUAGUUUGACUGGGGCGGUCUCCUCCUAAAGAGUAACGGAGGAGCACGAAGGUUGGCUAAUCCUGGUCGGACAUCAGGAGGUUAGUGCAAUGGCAUAAGCCAGCUUGACUGCGAGCGUGACGGCGCGAGCAGGUGCGAAAGCAGGUCAUAGUGAUCCGGUGGUUCUGAAUGGAAGGGCCAUCGCUCAACGGAUAAAAGGUACUCCGGGGAUAACAGGCUGAUACCGCCCAAGAGUUCAUAUCGACGGCGGUGUUUGGCACCUCGAUGUCGGCUCAUCACAUCCUGGGGCUGAAGUAGGUCCCAAGGGUAUGGCUGUUCGCCAUUUAAAGUGGUACGCGAGCUGGGUUUAGAACGUCGUGAGACAGUUCGGUCCCUA